AGAGUUUGAUCCUGGCUCAGAACGAACGUUAGCGGCGCGCCUAACACAUGCAAGUCGAACGAGAAAGGGCUUCGGCCCCGGUACAGUGGCGCACGGGUGAGUAACACGUGGGUAAUGUUCCCUUUGGCGGGGGAUAACCUUCCGAAAGGAGGGCUAAUACCGCAUAAGACCACGGCCUUAGCAAUGAGGCUGCGGUAAAA
rnacentral:rRNA from 1 species